rnacentral:rRNA from 1 species
UACGUAGGGUGCGAGCGUUGUCCGGAAUUAUUGGGCGUAAAGAGCUUGUAGGCGGUUUGUCGCGUCUGCUGUGAAAAUCCGGGGCUCAACCCCGGACUUGCAGUGGGUACGGGCAGGCUAGAGUGUGGUAGGGGAGACUGGAAUUCCUGGUGUAGCGGUGAAAUGCGCAGAUAUCAGGAGGAACACCGAUGGCGAAGGCAGGUCUCUGGGCCACUACUGACGCUGAGAAGCGGAAGCAUGGGGAGCGAACAGG